rnacentral:rRNA from 1 species
AUUGAACGCUGGCGGCAGGCCUAACACAUGCAAGUCGAACGAGUGGCGGACGGGUGAGUAAUGUCUGGGAAACUGCCUGAUGGAGGGGGGUAACUACUGGAAACGGUAGCUCAUACCGCGUACCCUCAUAUAUGCCCAGAGGGGAUUAGCUAGUGGGGGGGGUAACGGCUCACCAAGGCGACGAUCCCUAGCUGGUCUGAGAGGAGGACCAGCAACACUGGAACUGAGACACGGUCCAGACUCCUACGGGAGGCAGCAGGGGGGAAUAUUGCACAAUGGGCGCAAGCCUGAUGCAGCCAUGCCGCGUGUAUGAAGAAGGCCUUCGGGUUGUAAAGUACUUUCAGCGGGGAGGCGUUACCCGCAGAAGAAGCACCGGCUAACUCCGUGCCAGCAGCCGCGGUAAUUC